CCAAUAGCGUAUAUUAAAGUUGUUGCAGUUAAAAAGCUCGUAGUUGAAUUUCGGGAUCAGUACGCUGGUCGUGCCCUUGGUAUGUACUGGUGUUACUGGUUCCUACCUUCUGACGAACCGUCAUGUCAUUAAUUUGGUGUGGCGGGAAAUCAGGACUGUUACUUUGAAAAAAUUAGAGUGGUUAAAGCAGGCUCGCGCUUGAAUACAUUAGCAUGGAAUAAUGAAAUAGGACGUUCGAUCCUAUUUUGUUGGUUUCUAGGAUUGACGUAAUGAUUAAUAGGGAUAGUUGGGGGCAUUAGUAUUCAAUUGUCAGAGGUGAAAUUCUUGGAUUUAUUGAAGACUAACUACUGCGAAAGCAUUUGCCAAGGAUGUUUUCAUUAAUCAAGAACGAAAGUUAGGGGAUCGAAGACGAUCAGAUACCGUCGUAGUCUUAACCAUAAACUGUGCCGACUAGGGGUCGGAUGAUGUUAUUUUUAAUGACUCAUUCGGCGCCUUACG
rnacentral:rRNA from 1 species